UACGUAGGGUGCAAGCGUUGUCCGGAAUUAUUGGCGUAAAGAGCUCGUAGGCGGUCUGUCGCGUCUGCUGUGAAAACUCAGGGCUUAACCCUGAGCUUGCAGUGGGUACGGGCAGACUAGAGGUGGCGGUAGGGGAGACUGGAAUUCCGUGGUGUAGCGGUUGAAAGUGCGCAGAUAUCAGGAGGAACACCGGUGGCGAAGGCGGGUCUCUGGGCCGU
rnacentral:rRNA from 1 species